rfam:Ixodes scapularis strain Wikel colony gcontig_1108379141888, whole genome shotgun sequence.
UCCUGGUUAGCUCAGCUGGUAGAGCAUUCCACCGGAAAUGGAGAGGUCCCUGGUUCGACACCAGGACCAGGCG